GUACACUCCUACGGGAGGCAGCAGUGGGGAAUUUUGGACAAUGGGCGAAAGCCUGAUCCAGCAAUGCCGCGUGAGUGAAGAAGGCCUUCGGGUUGUAAAGCUCUUUUGUCAGGGAAGAAACGGUGAAAGCUAAUAUCUUUUGCUAAUGACGGUACCUGAAGAAUAAGCACCGGCUAACUACGUGCCAGCAGCCGCGGUAAUACGUAGGGUGCAAGCGUUAAUCGGAAUUACUGGGCGUAAAGCGUGCGCAGGCGGUUUUGUAAGUCUGAUGUGAAAUCCCCGGGCUCAACCUGGGAAUUGCAUUGGAGACUGCAAGGCUAGAAUCUGGCAGAGGGGGGUAGAAUUCCACGUGUAGCAGUGAAAUGCGUAGAUAUGUGGAGGAACACCGAUGGCGAAGGCAGCCCCCUGGGUCAAGAUUGACGCUCAUGCACGAAAGCGUGGGGAGCAAACAGGAUUAGAUACCCGUGUAGUCCCAU
rnacentral:rRNA from 1 species